rnacentral:rRNA from 1 species
AGUGAACGCUGGCGGCAGGCCUAACACAUGCAAGUCGAACGGAAGCACAGUAAGAGCUUGCCCCUACGGGUGGCGAGUGGCGGACGGGUGACGAAUAGAUCGGAUACCUCUUUGUCGGGGGUGAUAACGUAGGAAAACUUCUGCUAACACCGCAUAUGUCCUACGGGUGAGAGCAGGGGUUCUUCGGGCCUUUCGCGAUUGAAAGAGCCGAGGUCGGAUUAGCUUGUUGGCGGGGUAAAGGACCAGCAAGGCGACGAUCCGUAGCUGGUCUGAGCGGAGGGUCAGCCACCCUGGGACUGAGACACGGUCCCGACUCCCACGGGGAGCCGCAGUUGGGAAUUUUGGAGAAUGGGGGCAAGGCUGAUCCAGGCAAACCGGGUGGGUGAAGAAGGCCUUCGGGUUCUUAAGCCCUUUUGUUGGGAGAGAAAAACAGCUGGUUGAUACCCCGCUGUUCUGACGGUACCCAAAGAAUAAGCACCGGCUAACUUCGUG